rnacentral:rRNA from 1 species
UACAUGGGGUGCAAGCGUUGCCCGGAAUUAUUGGGCGUAAAGCGCACGUAGGUGGUCUGUUAUGUCAGAUGUGAAAGCCCUCGGCUUAACUGAGGAAGUGCACCUGAAACUGGCAGGCUUGAGUACGAAAGAGGGUCGCGGAAUUCCCGGUGUAGAGGUGAAAUUCGUAGAUAUCGGGAGGAACACCGGUGGCGAAGGCGGCGACCUGGUUCGAUACUGACACUGAGGUGCGAAAGCGUGGGGAGCAAACAGG